rnacentral:rRNA from 1 species
UUGACCUCGGAUCAGGUAGGGCU